ACAGCAGUAGCCGCGGUAAUACGAAGGGUGCAAGCGUUACUCGGAAUUACUGGGCGUAAAGCGUGCGUAGGUGGUGGUUUAAGGCCGUUGUGAAAGCCCUGGGCUCAACCUGGGAAUUGCAGUGGAUACUGGAUCACUAGAGUGUGGUAGAGGAUAGUGGAAUUUCCGGUGUAGCAGUGAAAUGCGUAGAGAUCGGAAGGAACAUCUGUGGCGAAAGCGACUAUCUGGGCCAACACUGACGCUGAGGCACGAAAGCGUGGGGAUCAAACAGGAUUAGAUACCCCCGUAGUCCCUGUCUCUUAUAA
rnacentral:rRNA from 1 species